AUACUUACCUGGCAAGGGAGACACCGUGAUCAAGAAGGUGGUUCACCCAGGGCGAGGCUCAGCCAUUGCACUCCGGCUGUGCUGACCCCUGCGAAUUUCCCAAAUGUGGAAAUCUCGAUUGCAUAAUUUCUGGUAGUGGGGACUGCGUUCGCGCUCUCCCCU
rnacentral:snRNA from 1 species